CAGUGGGGAAUAUUGCACAAUGGGGGAAACCCUGAUGCAGCCAUGCCGCGUGUGUGAAGAAGGCCUUCGGGUUGUAAAGCACUUUCAGUAGGGAGGAAGGUAGUGUAGUUAACACCUGCAUUAUUUGACGUUACCUACAGAAGAAGCACCGGCUAACUCCGUGCCAGCAGCCGCGGUAAUACGGAGGGUGCGAGCGUUAAUCGGAAUUACUGGGCGUAAAGCGCAUGCAGGCGGCCUGUUAAGUCAGAUGUGAAAGCCCGGGGCUUAACCUCGGAAUUGCAUUUGAAACUGGCAGGCUAGAGUCUUGUAGAGGGGGGUAGGAAUUUCAGGUGUAGCGGUGAAAUGCGUAGAGAUCUGAAGGAAUACCAGUGGCGAAGGCGGCCCCCUGGACAAAGACUGACGCUCAGAUGCGAAAGCGUGGGGAGCCAAACAGGAUUAGAUACCCUGGUAG
rnacentral:rRNA from 1 species